GCGGAGGACCCGAGGGAGAAGGGCAGAGGAAGAGUCACCCGGCAAGCCCCGCAGCUGGGGCCAAGGACAGAUGGAAGGUCCGGCCAAUGGAUCAGUGCGGAUGGAGUCUCAAGAGUCCAACAGUGCGAGAGAGGAAGGAGAGGCCUGAGGUCCAUUUGGGAAGUUGGUGAUACACAAUUCUAUGUCUCAAGCUCUGUGAAUCUACAAUACACCCCCUGCACCCCAUCACACACACUGGAA